rnacentral:misc_RNA from 1 species
GUUUGGUUCGUUUACAACAAUGCUUAUAGAUGCAGUAGGAUUCUGAGUGAAUGCUUCUGAGAGAUUCCCAAGAAUUAAAAGGAUGUACAGUGUGUUUAAAAAUAGGCACAUAGAUGAAGGGGGAGUAGUUCUUGUGCUGAUGCUAUGGCUAAUAUAGCAGUGAACUUGCCAUUGGAUUGUCAUCGUUUUGAGGUCUCAUCUUGGGGUCUUCUUAUUUUGUUAUUUCAUGAUCUUUGUGGAGUGGUAUGUCCUAGAAAUGCUUUAGUGUAGUUUAAGGGAAUUUAGUCUGUCUUGCUUAUUAGUUACUCACCAUCUUUGUGUUCUGGCCUAUGCCUGAUUGUUUCAG